UCAUGAGUCCGCAUGUUCACAUGAUUAAAGGUAUUCCGGUAGACGAUGGGGAUGCGUUCCAUUAGAUAGUAGGCGGGGUAACGGCCCACCUAGUCUUCGAUGGAUAGGGGUUCUGAGAGGAAGGUCCCCCCACAUUGGAACUGAGACACGGUCCAAACUCCUACGGGAGGCAGCAGUGAGGAAUAUUGGUCAAUGGGCGAGAGCCUGAACCAGCCAAGUAGCGUGAAGGAUGACUGCCCUAUGGGUUGUAAACUUCUUUUAUAAAGGAAUAAAGUCGGGUAUGUAUACCCGUUUGCAUGUACUUUAUGAAUAAGGAUCGGCUAACUCCGUG
rnacentral:rRNA from 1 species